CCAUCACACUGAGCACUGGUGCCUCUCGUGGCUCAGCCCGCUGCUGUUCACAUUAUUGGCUCACGACUACACUGCCAGAUACAGCUCAAACCGCAUCCUCUAAUUCUCUGAUGAUACAACAGUGAGUCGACAUACAGAGAGAAGGGAAUUGGCCAGAAACAGGAUGAUAAUUAUACCCUAAGUGACAAGUUCAUUCCACCAUGCUGGAUGCUCACUUAAACGUUAAAACUACCUUGGAUUGUUGUGGGCCUGCAUGAUUCAGCUGUUGCGUUACUAAAUCCACUAUGGAGAAUUGGAUCAAGAUGGAGAAAAGGGAGUAGGUGCUCUGUGUUUGUACCACACAGAUGGUUCCUGGCCUGCGGAAUAUUUCCAUCAUUUCAUGGUAGCGAAGUUGUUUGUGUGAGGCUUUACAGACCCAGUGAUUGAUUGGAAGAUUGGGGUGCAACUCCCUCCACUGUCUGUAAGGAGCUUGUACAUUCUCGCUGUUAGAGCAUGGUUAAGUCUGGGUGUUCUAGUUCCCUGCCAUCUUCCAAACGUCCAAGUAAACUAUGGGCCAGCUAUGUUGGCGACAUUUCCAGAUUGCCCCAGUACUUUGCAUUGAUUGUUGACGCGAAGUGUUUCACCAUUUGUUUCAAUGUAUAAAUAAAGCUAAUCUUAAAAUCUUAAUCUUAAGCUCUUUAAGAUUUUCAGUGUCUGCAGCUUUUUACUUUUGACUGAAAGUAUCUAUUAUGAUGAGGCCACAGUGACAGCAGCUUUCUUUUGCAGUGAUGGAUCCAUACAUGCAGAUUGAGAAAAACAUUUCAUGUCUAUGUUGAUAUGCUUUAUAAGAAUUGCACUACGAAAAAUACAUAGAAACUUAGAAUCAUAGAAAAACGACAGCACAAUAUAGGCUCUUCGGCCCACAACAUUGUGCUGAACAUGUAC